GGGGGGGGGGUAUGUCCCUCGUCUUCCUCCCAGCCCUCCCAGGACCAAGGCCUCCGUUUGGAGGGUAAUUUAAUUACUGAGAGUUCUGGAUCGCCAGGCUGUUCAAGUCAGACCCAGAUUCUCAAGGUGUUUGUGAACCAGGUUGUUGCUUCGUGACUUUACAGAAAGGGACGAGUGGACAGAAACUGUCCCUCUGACCUCAUGUUGCGGGAGACGCACCGACGCUGUGAAUUCCCGCCAUUUUCCUCCUGGAGCUUGUCCUCUCGUGCUCUUCGUCAUUGGAAAUCAUCACUGUUUAGCUUGUAUUUUUACUGCAUGCAUUUGAAGUGAAAGGGGGAUAGUAAUACUGAAUUCAUAGUCAUGAAAAUAAAACCAUGCGUGUAAAUCAUUGGGCAGACAGAGUCUGGCAAACACAAGAAAUACUGUAAAACUAAUAUAACUUGGUUGUGCAUUUUAAUUGUUGACUUAACCAUUUACUAAACAACUUCCGUGCAGCAUGUCCACAUCCUUGCAAGUGUCAUUACUUGUACAAGAAGCCUUUCCCCCACUCCUUGCUUGACCAACUUCUGUUUGUUUUCGUUUUGCAGUUUUUGUGUCAGAAUGCCCCCCAGAAGCCCUCCCUAAAACCCGUCAAUCUCUGGCCUCCGAGUUAGGCCUGUUGCGCAUUCACAACUGGAAACGCACGGCUACAUGGUGGUAUCUAUCACUUGACUUUGGACUUUGAGAAUAGAGAAUGCUUAUUUUUAACCCUAAUCUGUUUGGCAAAAAAGCACAGAGAAAUGUUUGCUCAUAGAAAAAAAUGGAAUGGGCAUCAUGGAGCAGAAGGAUGGUGACACAAAGCAAUGAAGUAGGAUAUCCGGCAAUUCAGCUGUGACUGUCUGCUAACGGGUCUUCCUCCUUUCACUCUUUCCCGCUCACAGCCUGCAGCCAGUGCCUCAGCCACACAGCCCUUAGACCGCCACUUCUCUGUUCAAAAUUCUGAAGGCAUCCCUCCUCAGAGAGAAACCACAGCCUGGAGAGGCACCCGUUUUCUGGCCCCUGCUCAUGUCCGCAUUUGUGUGAACUGUCACCCUUGCCCUCACUCCAGUUCAGCCACUCGUGCCUCCCAGUUCCUCCUCAGCACGUCUGUUCCACCCACCUCUGCAUUUCCCAUUCUCUCGGCUGGAACUUUCCCCUCAGUCCCAUCUCUUGUUCCCCUACUUCACUAAGUGCUCUGUGGAAAUAUCACCUAACCACCCUAUUUAAGUUGUACUGACUUCCACUUUUUUUACUUAAGUCCCCCGUUCCAUAAAUGUGUGUGUUUUCUAUCUCACCCACCCCCAUUAGAAUAUGAGCUUGGUGAAAGCAGAGACUUGGUUUGCUGUGCCCCCUCCCCUCUCCCUGGGCACUUGGACAAGCCUAGCAUUGGAAAAAGGAAAGAUGGUACAAGGUGGUGAAGAAACAGUCAUUUGCAUGUACAGAAUCUAUGGUCGUCUAUGUAGAACACCCACAAGAAUAUACAAACAUAAAAACUGAUGAGAAUUCAGCAAGGUUGCUGGAUACAAAAAUCAACUUUAGCUAAAAACAGAAAAUGCAGUAACUACAAAUAUACUGUAUGAAAUAGAAUUUAAAAAGUACAUGUAGAGUCCCUAAGAAAUAUCAAUAAAAUAAGACAUUUAUGGAGAAAAUUAUAAAACUUUAUUGAAAGAAGUUAAAGAUCCUAAAUAAAUGGGUUCAUAGAUUGAAAGACUCAACAUCACAAUGUAUAAAUUCAGUACAAACCCAAUAAAAUUCCAACACUUUCUUGUUUGGUUUGAUUAACAACUUGUCAGUCUAGCUAAGCUUGGCCAAAUAGUCCUGAGGAAGAAAACUUUGGUGGAGGUGUAGGGGAUGGAAGUUGGAUUUGUCCUGAGAUAUCAAGGUCAGUUUCUAAACUUGUAGUACCCAGGCCUGUAGCACUGCCGGGGGUUAGGCAAAGUGCCUGCCUCAUGAGUCAGAAUAGAACCCCCCCCCCGCCACCCCAACUUGAUUUAUGAAACAGCCAGUGCUACAAAUCAGUGAGGGAUGGAUAAACUUUU